rnacentral:rRNA from 1 species
CGAACGGGUGAGUAACGCGUGAGUAACCUGCCCACAACUUUGGGAUAACGCUAGGAAACUGGUGCUAAUACUGGAUAUGUGCUCCUGCUGCAUGGUGGGGGUUGGAAAGCUCCGGCGGUUGUGGAUGGACUCGCGGCCUAUCAGCUUGUUGGUGGGGUAGUGGCCUACCAAGGCGGCGACGGGUAGCCGGCCUGAGAGGGUGACCGGCCACAUUGGGACUGAGAUACGGCCCAG